rnacentral:rRNA from 1 species
GAUGAACGCUAGCGGCAGGCUUAAUACAUGCAAGUCGAGGGGUAACAGGGGUAGCAAUACCUGCUGACGACCGGCAAACGGGUGCGGAACACGUACGCAACUUUCCCAAAACUGGUGAAUAGCCCUCCGAAAGGAGGAUUAAUACACCGUAACAUAAUGAAGUGGCAUCACUUUAUUAUUAUAGCUCCGGCGGUUUUGGAUGGGCGUGCGCCUGAUUAGGUAGUUGGCGGGGUAACGGCCCACCAAGCCUGCGAUCAGUAACUGGUGUGAGAGCACGACCAGUCACACGGGCACUGAGACACGGGCCCGACUCCUAC